UAUCUCUGUAGAGUCUGCAUAUCAAUAAGCGGAGGAAAAGAAACUAACUAGGAUUCCCUAAGUAACGGCGAGUGAAGCGGGAAGAGCUCAAAUUUGAAAUCUUCAAGGUUCUACCUUGACGAAUUGUAGUUUAAAGAAGUGUUUUCUGUUGGAGUUUUGGUAAAAGUUCUUUGGAAUAGGACAUCAUAGAGGGUGAGAAUCCCGUAUUUGACCAUUAUUUUCAACUUUGUGAUACACUUUCAAAGAGUCGGAUUGUUUGGGAAUGCAGUCCAAAAUGGGUGGUAAAUUUCAUCUAAAGCUAAAUACUGGCGAGAGACCGAUAGCGAACAAGUACCGUGAGGGAAAGAUGAAAAGAACUUUGAAAAGAGAGUUAAACAGUACGUGAAAUUGUCAAAAGGGAAGCGUUUGACACCAGUGUUGUUUUCUCGAAAAUCAAUUAAAAAUGGCGGGAUUUUGUGUUGUAUUGACUUUAUCAGCUUUCUGCACUUUUUUCCUUGUCUUUUUUAAUGCACUUUUCGUUUAACAAGUCAACAUCAAUUUCUUUUGUUGUAAAAGGGUCAUUGGAAGGUGGCUUUCUUUUCGGAGAAAGUGUUUAUAGCCUUGUACCUCUGCAAUCGGAGAGAUUGAGGUCUGCAGCGUAGAUCCUUCGGGGUUAGAUAGCAUUUGUGCUAAGUUAUAGCCUUUUCAUUAGACAACUUGUUGACUAUGAUUUAGUCAUUGUAGCUUACUCGCUUAUGUCUAUUUUACCUACGCUUAGGAUGUUGAUCUCUCACAGUCGAGC
rnacentral:rRNA from 1 species